rnacentral:lncRNA from 1 species
GUGUUUGACCUCCCAAGAUGAGUGUUUCAUAAGUUUUAAGUCCAAAAACUAGUGUGUAUCUUCUGAUAUUGAAUGGUAUAUUCAAACUCUAGUCAUGGCUGAAAUCAAGAAAGUGCCUCUCCUUUUCUAUGUGCUUUUUCUAACCAAUCUAAGAAAAAAAUUCUGCCAGAGAAAUACCAAAAGAGGAGAGUUUAUAUUUGUUAUGGCUAGAGAUGUUUCUACAAUUCUCCAUCUUUGUACUAAUAGCUUAUUCAGCAGGAUGUGCUACAUACAUUGAACUUGUAUGCAUGCUUAAAGUGUCAGCUGUUUACUUGACUGGUUCAUGAAUUUAGGAUGGUUCUCUAGGAAUUGAACUUCUUUUGUGUAAAAAAUCUCUUUAAUAGUAGCAUAUUCUGGUGUUAGUUUUUGGUUGCUCUGACCUAUUUGUGCAGUUGAUUUUAUUGAAUCUUUAUUGUUCUUGAUGUUACUCAACAGACUAAACAGGUAAUUGGCAAUAGCGCAUAAAUAGUAAGCAUGGAUGUUGUGUCCUAGCAACUGAUUUUGCAAGAGUUGUAUAAUUAUCUGAACACCACGUUUAUUCCUGUAUUGAUGUGGACACUUCUACCAGCUGCAGACAAUUUUGCAUUUCAUUGCUUGAUUUGUAAUUUUGUUUUUUUUUUUUACUUUUCAGUUAAAUAACUGGAAGCACUUUAAUUUAAUGCACCUGUCUCUCACCAAGCACUCUUGCAAGCUAUAAAAUUUGAGGCCAUACAUUUCCUGGUUUCAGGUGUCAUCAGGAAAUGCUGUUCCUAGGAGUGUAGCAGCUGCAUCUGUGGUGGCUCCUAGGCAAGUUCCUCGACCAAUGCCUAUGGUUGGAAUGCAAAGGAUGCCAGGUGCAGCUAUGGCAGCUUUUAAUAUUGCAUCCCAAGCUGGCAUGGGUGGUGUAAAUCCCGGUAAUAUUCCUAUGCAAAGGGGUGCGGCAGCUCAGGCUCAACAACAGCAGGUAGUGUUGGAAGCCCAAUUAGUUUCUCUUUUCGAUGCAUAUAUGGUUCUAAUUUGUGGAUUUGCCUUCUUAAACAGUUAAGAAGGAAAGAUCCAGGAAUGGGAUUGCAAAAUACAGGGUAUCCUCGGCAGAAGAGGCGCUUUUGAUGUAAUCUAUCUUUCCUCUCUUUAGCUAUAUAGAAUUUAUUUUGUCAUACAGGCAUAGGGCUGAAAUCGGACCGGAUAUGGAUCGGAUAUCAGUAUAUUCAUAUCUAUAUUUGUUUUAUUUGGCGUAUACAGAUACAGAUACAGAUAUUAGUCGAAUGCAAAAAAGUUAUAUCCAUAUUUGUUUUAAAUGGAUACAAAUUCAAAUCAGAUACCGAAAGUAUGAAUAUAAUAAGGAUAUAAAUCGGAUAAUUAAACUUUAUGACCACAAAAAGAUAUUAUUAAAUGGAUGAUAAAUCAAGUUAAUAGCAUAUUAAUGUGGUCAUUUAUUUUUCUUAAAAGUUCAUGAGUGCUAUAUAAAAUUAAAUAGGGUUACAAAUGGAAUCGGAUAUUCGGAUAUGGAUUGGAUAGUUGUCUAUCCAUAUCCAUUUCCAUUUCCAUUUUUCUUUAACAGAUAUGGAUAUGGAUACGAAUAUUAGUCGGAUGCUCAAAUUUCUAUCUAUAUCCUGAUAGUUUCGGAUACGAAAACAUAUCCGGACGGAUAUUGUUCGAUCCACUUUCACCCCUAUAUAGGCAACAAUAUUGCUUCUUCAUCUGUUUGAUGCUCUAGUAUUGAUUAAGAAAUGAUGUUCCCUCUUCCAUGGAGCAGAUUAUUUAACCCAAAAUGAAUACUUGGCAUAACUACUUCUGCUAGGAGAUGUGUAUUUUAUUCAUCCCAACCUUGAAAGUUAAAUUUGAUUCUAUGAUUCUGUAUGCUAGCUACCAAGAGACUGCCGUACACCCAUUUUGACAUUUAAUGUAGCCGGCUCCUGGAAGGGGAGGGGGGGGGUGUACAAUAGAUAAUAUUAUAGAAUUAUCUAAGUUAUUCUUUCAGUCAAUUUUAGCUUUGUACAUGGAGUUGUUCUGUCUGAAAAAAUGCCUUUUCCAACUGUCCUCCAGGUGCCUUACUUGAAACCUCAAGUCAUCAUGUAUAGCUUAUUAUGGAAUUACUCUUUUUCUUUGAAGGGAUUACAUUCUUUAUGUCACAAUCAUAUACUUUUCUUAUAUCACAUUUUUAUUGCAUGUAUGCGUGGGGUCAACCUUAUCGGACAGAAGGGGAGGGGGAAGAUUUAGCUUUGGCAUUAGAUGGUUAUUUACUGUGCUUUUAUGUACAUUAUAUAAGAAGAUGCUUCUCGUGGCAAGCUCCAUGAGGACCAACUAUAUUUAUUGAUUAGGAUUUUAAAAAUCAGAAGGCAGGCAAGGGUAUAUUCUCCAUUAUGCCAUGCUUGACGUGCCUCUUGACUGCAAAGUUUUAUUUUAAUUUUUUUCCGGGUUAUUUUGACUGCAAAAGCUGCUACAAGUGCAGCUAUAGCAUAAGGAGUACAUUAUACCAUUCAUGUAUUCUUGUAGGGUGAGUACAAGUUGGGAAUUUAUUUGUUAGGAUAUUAAAGCUUUUCAUGUUGCAUCAAUUGCCUUAUAUUUUCAUCAUUCAAGAAUCAAGCUGCAGGUAGGUGAUAUUUUCCCUACAGCUUCUCAGGGUUUUAGCUUUGGACAUAUUGGAAGUUCUGACAGUUAUGGAAUGGGCGUAUGCGAUGGAACACUCCUAUCAAAGUCUCUACUCUGUGAUAAAAAUGAGAUGAGCAAAAAAGAACCAGAGAUUCUUCCCUUCUGUAUAUAAUAUAGUUGAAAACUGCACUGUUGUAUCAACAUUGGUGUGCAAACUGUGUAACAUGGGGGUUGCCCAAAGUGCGUUUAUGACACUAGAAUUUACACGAGCAGGUAAGUGCUGUCGUUUUUGGAUUAUUGCUGCCUAGUGCCUACAGUUUUUCAUUUCAAGCAGUUUUGAGUUGCAGUCUUCUGUUCAUAGCUGUGUCCCGGAAUGCAUUCUUUGCGAGCUCUUCAUGUUUUCUUUGAAGGAUUGUAAAUGUCUUCAAAAUGAAAAUGUUUGAAUUUGGUAUCGAGUCAAUGUAAAAACACUGCCUAACUGAUCUAUGACCGUCAUGGUUACAGGGUUUUGAAGAGUUUUAAAUAGGUUGGGUUGGACUGGGGCAUGCUUACCCCGUCCUGAUCCAGUAUCAUAUUUGGGUCUUGAUUUUGGACCUAGAUCAACUGGCUGAUGUGUUGGGUCCACAAAACAAAUUUUGGAUCCAUGUGUUGGGUCCACAAAAAAGGAUUUUAGAUCCAACGUGUCAUGGGGAGCGGGUCUGGGACAAGUUUGGCUUGGACCGUACUUUGAAAUGUUCAGGCUCAGAUUGGGACUGGAUUGGGUAGGAUCAGGUUCGCAAUUGGAUCGGGCAUUCUAUAUUAAAAAAAAUAUAGAAAUAGCUGAUUUGUGUUCUCAAUAUUACUUUAACUUGAUGUGCUCUUGCAUGUCUCUGCCAGCAUCAACCGCUAACCCUUUUCUUAUUUUAAAGUUCCAAUAAGCUCCUCAAUUUUAUUUCUGCAGCUUCUAUUUUAUAACUAAUUAGAGGAAAAGCAAACAUGAGCGCAGAGCAGUAUAUACUAUUCCAUUAAGUAUUUUGUACAAAAUUUAAAGGUUAUCUUAAUUGGCAUAUCUACAAGGAUGAAAAGAAAACAAUUUGGACCUGUUUGACAUUCCUUUUCUUUUUUCUGGUACCAAAAUACCAGGAAGCAAAAUAAACAAGCCUGAACAACCUGUAUAAUUAGACCGUCAUAUUCCUUGCAAUUGUUCAUAAAACCUAGAGUUUAGAAAGCAAAGAUUUAUUAUUUUCAAGAAAAAAGAGUGAAUAAAAGCAAGGAAUAUCAACAGUUUUUGGGCGGAUGCUAUCUUCAACAUCUAACUUCAUGUGUUAAUUCACCAAUUUGUAGAGAAACAAAAACACAAAACAACAAGAAUUGCCACUCCCAUUUAUCAUGACUAAGAAAAUGUGAUGGACUUUCUUUAUGCAAUACAUGUGAUGGAGCGCAGAAUUCAUCGGUGAAAAGGUUUAAGAUAAGAAGGAAGAGGAAAUAGAGAGAGAAUGGGGUUACAGGAGGUGAGGAUGCUGGGGUAAUGGAGAAGUGAGGGUGUUGAGGGUUGAGGAGAGUCAAGGGUUAGAGGAAUCUUGACGGCCUGAGGCAAGAGGAGAUGAGGUUUUAGGUGAGAGAAUCGAUAGUGAUAGAAAGACAGGAACGUGGCAACUGAUAGAUAGAAAGGGAUAAAGCUUUAUAUAACGCACUUUAGGUCAAAAAUGUUAUAAAACCUAGUCCUAGUAUAAUAAUUAGAAUAAGAUAAUCUUACGAGGAUCCGUAUGGCUGUGUAUUUAGUCCCACAUCAAUUAUUUGCCGAAGAGACCUAGAGUAUUUAUACAGAAUAUUUUUUGAUAAGAUCCUGAAUUAUUACAAAUGGUAUCAAAGCGAAUUCAAUCUAUAGUCUAUAUAGAAUAGGAGACACUACACAAGUUCAUAGAAGCUGACCAUGAAAUUUGAUGAGAACAACUUACCAUACUAUCUUAUGUUCUCUCUUUUUAUCAACAACAUCCUUCUCUCUCCUUAUCUUCUUUCACUGCAUCACUGUCUGUCAUACCUCGAGGGGCCUUUAGAGCAAUGCAAGAUCAAGUAAAGCAUCUCCUUGAGUGGCUUAAGUAGUUACCUUGAAUUAAGCUAGGACCCUAACCCAGCCAUCAGCAGAGUAAGCUGCCUCCUUUCAUUGCAACAUCGCUGUUGUGGUAACCGAGUUGACAUUUUAAAUCAAAAAGAUGGCACACAAAAUAAUGCCGAGAAGAACAAGAAAUGCAUUUAUAUUUUUAACCUCUCUUUUAGUACCAUCUUCUCAAUCCAUUUUAUCUGUAAUUUGUCAAAGUUAAUUGCUAUACAGGAAUUCUCCACUUUUUGGAGCACAUUAAACCACCAAAAUGGUGAGAUAAGAAAAUUUAUUUAACUGAAGGUUGAUUGAUGCAAACAUGCGAGAUGCUACAGCUUUUCAAUAAAGGGCCAAAGCAGAGGUGAAACCAAAUGAUACUUCGUGACAUAAUUCUUCAGAAAAGAGCAGUGGCAGCUGGUCUUUGGAUGUUUUACUCGCCAGCAAUUAUGACAGGGAGCCCCCUGAAAGAGGAAAUAAUAAGAGUAUCAGUCAAACAUACAUUUUAUGUGGAUGAUUUGAUGAGUUGCUACAAUGCAACCUUGGAUAUGCUAUUAUCUUUAUCCAUUUUUAUCUUUUUAAGUGGACUGAUAAAAUUAGACUAUUGCGGCAAUAUCAAUCUUUAUGUCUGCAUGUUGUUUGGGUACAGAAAGAUGCAACAGCAAGCAACUUCACAAGGAUAUUUAAUGAUCCAAAGGAAAAUGAUAUUUUAAUAAAUAAAUAUAAAAAAACACCAUUCACAAGAUAAAAAUAGAAUUGAUCAUGAUAAAAACUAUAGAAGCCCUACUUGUUAGCAAUGCUUGAUCUACAUUAAAAAGACUGUUGCUCACUAAUCACUAACCUAAAACGAAGGUUUGCAAAACCAACCCGAACCACCAGGUUCGGGAAAUAUGAUGGAAGCCCUCAAACAAUGGAUGUUGGGUGAUGUGUUGAUGGCGUGUUGGGUGGCUAGAAUUCACCAAAGUGUCAGACGAAUGUCCACGGUAGGAUGGCUAGUUGGGGCUUGAGGGCGUGACAGAUGGAUGGGAUUAAUGGACCACCUCGGGGCAGCACCAAAAAUCAAAGAAUGGCGGUGGGAUUUGAAGAUAGGACUAGCUCAAGCUAGUGCCUAUUUCCAUGGGUCGGUUUAGAGCUAAUGCCCAGAAUUUUCCAUUCAUUCAAAAAAGAUUCUUUUAAAUUACAUGAGAAGCUUAUUUAUAGGACUCCCUAAGGACCUCAACCACCUCUUCAAACAUAAGAUAAAUCAAGCUUUAAAUUUAAAAUUCAAACAAUCAAAUCUAAGCCUAAAGAUGCUCCUAAUUUCAGGGGAUGACCAAGUCAAAUCCCAAGCUCACGCGCAUGCCUUAUUCAGAAUUCCAUUUGCUGAAUGCUCUCCCUAGAGUUUGAGAUGUCACACGCCAUACUCCCCCUCUUGUGCACGCCUUCUUUCAAGGGAUGACCAAGUCAAAUCCAGCUCAUCCACAUGCCUUUGAAUUUAAAUUCAAAUGGUUGAUUGCUCCUAAGAUUUAGGAAGCCACAUACCAUGCUCCUCCCCAUGUGCUACGCCUCCUUGCUAGUCCUUUGUGCCUUGUACGCCUCCUUUCAAAGUGGGCUCAAACCCAAUUAUGUUGGGUCCUUGCAAGUCGCCAUCCAAGUAAUACAUUUGCUUGGCAUUCUUUGUUUUGGUUCUUCUUGCUUUCCUUGCUGCAUUUCUCAUAGCUUUCUUCAUGUCUUCAUCAAAGUACCAAAUCAAACUAGUGCAGAACCGAAUGGGUUUACUUUGUUAGAUUUGGGACUUAGCUCAAAUCGGUUUGAACCAGUCCAAACUAAGCAUAACAGGGUGGUAUGACUCGGUUCGUGCCAGUUCUACUGUAAAAAAGGCAGAGAAGGUAUCUCGACGUCUUUCUCCUCUAUUUUUUGCUAAGAAUGUGGAGGACAGGACGGUGAGGAAAACAAAGGUUUGCAAAACCAACCCGAGCCACCGGGUUCGAGAAGUACCAAAUCAAACUAGUGCAAAACCGCUUUACUCUGUUAGAUUUGGGACUUAGCUCAAAUCGAUUUGAACCAGUCCAAACAAAGCAGAACUGGGUGGUACGACUCAGUUCGUGUCAAUUCUAGUGUAAAAAGGGCAGAGAAGGUAUUCUAUUUUCUGCUAAGAAUGUUAAGGAAGGACGGGACGAUGAAGAAAAUCAAGGGAUUUGUCAUUUUAAAUCCCAAUCCAAGUCAAGAUCAGGUAUAAUCCCCUCUCUCCUCUUCAUUCUUCUCCUUUUUUUUCCCCCUUUUCAUGCCUAAAAUAGAUCGAGAAAUGGUAAAAUAAGGGGAAAUCAUACCAAAAUUUUAUUUUUGAUGUAAUUUCAUGAUAUGUUGCAUUUUAGCCCUAAAUAUGAAUGAGAUCCACUAUUUUAUAAUAUGAACUCUUCUUAGGAGGGUUUUUCAGCAGGUUAAGUAGCUUUAGUUGGGUAUUAAUUCUUGACCUGCUAUCCGACCCAUUAGCUUAUCUAAAUAUCAGAGGCCAUCCCAACUUUCCCUUUCAAAUAGAGAUACUACUGGAAGUGGUGACCAACAUUCCAAGAUCGGAAGGAUAAAGAUGAAUAGCAGUGAAUGAAUUCCUGGAUGGGAAGAUGGGAAGAUGAAAGAUGAAUAGUGGUGGCUGGCAUUCUAGGACUUCGCUAGAAGUCGGGAAAUAUGUCUUCUUGUUGUUGUCCUUGUUGCCGAGCGCCUGUCGGGUUUCUAGUAGAUUGAAUAGCUUUGGUUGGGUAUUAGUUCUUGACCUGCACUUUGACCCAUUAGCUCAUAUAAAUAUCUAAACCAUCUCAACUUUCUCUCGUUCCUUUUCUUCUUCUUCUUCGAAAUUUAACAUCUAAUGCACCAAAAAGAAAAAAAAGAAAAAAAAACGAAAAGAAGAAAGAUUGGAAACAAAUCGCUAUAGUUUAUAAUCUGAUUAGUUUAUCUAUUAGCCUAACAUGCUGUUGUCUUCAUGCUUUUAAUGCUUUCUGCAUUACUGUAUCAAUUUUUUUAAGUUUUCAUGAUAUCAUAUCAUAUAGUAGUUCAUCAUAAUGUUAAUUGUUUUGGAUAUUUUCUACUUUUAAAUUUGGUUACUGAUGUAUGAAAAUAUCUUCUAAAUUUCCAUUGAAUCUACUCAUAUUUUUGUAAUUUUUAAUUCAUGCAAUCGCCUUGAACUCUAAGCGCCCAUCUCACACCUAAGCAUUAGGUAGUUCCCUUGCGGCUCGUCUCUCGCCUACACUUUUUCAAAACCUUGACGAGAUCCCAACAUCUACAAGCGGCAAAAGUAUUUCAUAAGGACUAGACAUCUCUAUCUAUUUUGUAAUUCAAAACUAUUUAAUAUUUAUAUUUUCAAGCAAAAAACUAUGCAUUUGUUAUUUUUAUUAUUAUAAUUGCAUCUAUCAAACAAUCAUAUGGUCUCCGAGACCAAUAUGAAAUAAAUUAACAUUAAAACAACCUUAAAAUCUCAUUUUCAAGAUCCCUAAACUUUAUAAUAACCAUACAACAAAAAAA